CCUUCGGCUUGGUUCGCUUAUUGUUAGACUCCAUUUCAUCGACCUGGCGCAUGCCAAAAAACUGAGCGCCCACGUAGAAUACCCGACACUCUUAGACACUGCCAAGGAAUGCACACGCGUAUCCUACUCAACGUGCUCAGGAAAAUACGGGACGGGGAACUUCGUUGAUUCCGACGUGCUCGGUAAACUUGUUAGGGGGAUAAUUUGACGUCACAUGGCCGCCACACGCUGCGUCAACGCCAACGACGGCAGAACCGUCAACUACUUUCUACCUAACCGAAUCCGGCGCCAAAUUCAAAUGGCGUUAGCGGGACUUGGAGCGUCGUAACGAAUCGGCCCCCCUGCUCUUCGUUUAAUCUACAUUUGAAACAAAAUGUUACUCUCACGGUUUACUCGUAUAUGCAUAAACAGGAAUCACACAAUUACACAUGAAUAGCAGCGUUCGUUGGGAAAUGUAACAGAUGCAGCGCUCCAUUUUUCGUUUAUUCGUGACAUAGCAGUACCAUAGAAGAAAAGAAAUGAUCGCAAUUUCACGCAACAGACAACUGUGCGUGUUACAAAAAUGCACGUAAGAAUGAUAGAUACAACUAUUGAAAUUCGGCACAUCAUAUGCUUUCGAACGAUUACAACUGGUAGUAAGUGAAAAGAGUUUACUGUUCCUCUACGAUAAUAUUCUACCUCUUUCUACACCAGGGAUACAAAACAUUGCCGAUAUUCUAAUCUAUUGGUUAAGCUUCGAUAUCUAUCGACGGCAAGAUGAAAUUUUGUACAGCUGUUUGAUCCACAUGCCUCGAAGAUAUAUCGACCAACAGCCGAUUGUUUAACGAAGGAAUUACUAAAUUGGCAGUACAUAAAGUAACAAUAUCUAACGUUGUCAAUAAUAUGUAAAUACAUCUCUCAUUUGGACCCUA